rnacentral:rRNA from 1 species
GACGAACGCUGGCGGCGUGCUUAACACAUGCAAGUCGAACGGAAAGGCCCUGCUUGCAGGGUACUCGAGUGGCGAACGGGUGAGUAACACGUGGGUGAGCGGCCCGUCACGGCGGGAUAAGCCUGGGAAACGGGGUCUAAUACCGGAUAGGAGCCAGUGUGAUUGUGAUGGUUGGAAAGUUUUUUCGGUGUAGGAUGAGCUCGCGGCCUAUCAGCUUGUUGGUGGGGUAAUGGCCUACCAAGGCGGCGACGGGUAGCCGGCCUGAGAGGGUGGACGGCCACCUUGGGACUGAGAUACGGCCCAGACUCCUACGGGAGGCAGCAGUGGGGAAUAUUGCACAAUGGGCGCAAGCCUGAUGCAGCGACGCCGCGUGGGGGAUGACGGCCUUCGGGUUGUAAACUCCUUUCGCUAGGGACGAAGCUUUUUGUGACGGUACCUAGAUAAGAAGCACCGGCUAACUACGUG